AUGGCACGGGCAACCAUGAUACCCACCCUUUUGGUGCUGCUUCUGGUCGUUUGCUGCGCAACCACCGUCGUCCAGGGCAAGGAGUGGGUUGUUGGUGACAACAAGGGAUGGAGCUUCGGCGUCUCUGGAUGGGAGAGUGGCAAGGACAUCCAGUCCGGCGACGUGCUUGGUGAGAACUCUAAAGAUCAAGUGGGAGAAGGCGACUACAACUCAUGCAGGGUCUCGGGCCCGUCGAGGACCUACACCUCCGGAAAUGACCACAUCCAGCUCGCCCGCGGAGGCAAAGCAUUCUUCAUCUGUAGCCUUCCGGGUCACUGCCAGCAAGGCAUGAAGAUCGCUGUCACUUCUUAA
rnacentral:rRNA from 1 species